AUUGAACGCUGGCGGCAUGCCUUACACAUGCAAGUCGAACGGCAGCACGGGGCAACCUGGUGGCGAGUGGCGAACGGGUGAGUAAUGCAUCGGAACGUACCUUUCAGUGGGGGAUAACGUAGCGAAAGUUACGCUAAUACCGCAUAUUCUGUGAGCAGGAAAGCAGGGGAUCGCAAGACCUUGCGCUGAUUGAGCGGCCGAUGUCAGAUUAGCUAGUUGGUGAGGUAAAGGCUCACCAAGGCGACGAUCUGGAGCGGGUCUGAGAGGAGGAUCCGCCACACUGGAACUGAAACCAGGUCCGGACUCCUACGGGAGGCAGCGGUGGGGAAUUUUGGACAAUGGGGGCAACCCUGAUCCAGCCAUGCCGCGUGAGUGAAGAAGGCCUUCGGGUUGUAAAGCUCUUUCGGCCGGGAAGAAAUCGCACGGGCUAAUACCCUGUGUGGAUGACGGUACCGGAAUAAGAAGCACCGGCUAACUACGUGCCAGCCGCCGCGGUAAUAC
rnacentral:rRNA from 1 species